GCUAUCCGUAGCUACACAGAGCUGCAUCAGAAGCUUUUAUAUUACCAGGAAAAAUUUCGGAACCAAGAUACAGUCUGGCCCAAUGAAGUGGAUCGCGGCCACAGCCGAUGAGCGGAUUUACAAACGGUUGAAUUGAUGGAUUAGAUGAAGCGCAACGAAUCUCCAGCGGCUCAGCCGCUGAAGCAUGUGUUCAUUACGGUCCGAUUUGAAUGAUGCAUCUUGAAAUGAGGACUGAGAAAAAAUGACAUUAGAUAAACGGAAGGAUACUAAUCCAACGAAACGUAUGUAAGUUAAAUACAUUAAAUAAAACACUUUGGCCCACUGUCUCAUCUGAAAUACAACUAGGAAUGACAA